CUAGCAGACGCACACACACAGCUUAAUGUGGUGGUACUGGUGUCUAUAGCAUGUCCCUACAGGCUUUUCAACGUAAACACUGACUUUUCAGACAAAAGGCAGUGUUUACAUUGCUUCAAAGUGACACUGCUAGUGACAGUCACUCAGACGGUCACUAGAGGUGCUUCCUGUGUUAGUGCCCUCGCGCGCUGCUGAAUGAGACUGGC